rnacentral:rRNA from 1 species
UACGUAGGGACCGAGCGUUGUCCGGAAUCAUUGGGCGUAAAGAGCGUGUAGGCGGCCACUUAAGUCCUGCGUGAAAUCUUGCGGCUCAACCGCAAGCGGUCGUGGGAAACUGGGUGGCUAGAGUGCGGGAGAGGAUAGUGGAAUUUCCGGUGUAGCGGUGAAAUGCGUAGAUAUCGGAAGGAACACCAGUGGCGAAGGCGGCUAUCUGGACUGACACUGACGCUGAGGCGCGAGAGCGUGGGGAGCAAACAGG